AGAUACCAGGGCGAUCUGACUGCAACAUCUGUGACCCCAUUGAUCGCCAGGGCCAGGGUUGAUUCAGUUGAUCUGCCUGACUGGACUAACCCCGUCCUCACCACUCUUAGUGUAUCCCUCCUGAAGCUGUGCACCUGCUGGAAGAACCAACCCUUCCUCCAUAGAGAAGGAUCAUCUUUGGUUAAGAAUAUUAAGGACUGUCCAAGCUCCCAUAACUAAGUGAAGAUGAGGACUUGAAACCUGGCCUGACUGUCCCUCACAUCUAGCUCAUCCUGAUGACAUCCUGACGCU
rnacentral:snRNA from 1 species